AGCCUCGCCGAGGGCCCCUCCCCUUCCCGCAGCUCCCGCGCCAGCACCAGGGAGCGGGUGCCGGAGCUGGGGAUGCUCGACCGGUUACCAAAUUCGGAACCUGGCCUGACUUGGUUGUCACUGCUCUAGCUAAAUCCCUGGCUGUGCCUGCUGCAAUCGAGUCUGUCACUUUUCCUGACUUGGAUACUACAGAAACCACCAUAGCAAUGAAAACAAGAGUCCAGGUAUCUGGGUCAGAGACUGUGGGAUGUCCAGAUGGCCUGAGAACAGAGUCUGAACCAGGGGUCCCUGCACCCCACUAGGAAAGAGCCCCUGAGCCGGAGUCUUGCUGGUGAGAGACAUUUGGGGGAAGCCUGAAUAGGGUGGAUGUCAGCUGAAGGAAGCUGUGCCUGGCAUCAGGUAGCUCCUAAGGA